UCCCUGUUGGACUGUAUUCUAGUCUCUUCUGCUUGUUUUGCAUUGGAAGAUUUUCCAUCGGUUGUUGCAUUUGCUUUUUCCAACACUGAACAACAUCUCAUUACAUAAUUAUUGGGCUGUUCAUGUUUCUCCUGUUUGGGUUGUGUCCAUCAUCAUCAACAUGAUAACAAUUGAUUUAAAUUAUGAUUUACAUUGUGAAACAUGAAACGUUGUCUCAUCGUUUUCCAUACACAUAAAAGGAUAGGACAUGUAACAGACAAACAUCACCAACACAAUAUCCAUCAUCAGGAUCAACAUUGCAAUUGAAUUGAUAUCCAGGUUAUUCACCAAGUUAAACAGAACCAGGAUAGAAAGGUGGUCGUAGUAGUCAUGGUGGAAGUGGUGGUAAAGGUAAAAUGUCAACGAAAAGAAGGAGGAAAAAAAAAGAUUGGAAAAAGACAAGAGAUAAGAUAAAAUAUACAUUAAAAUGUUGUACUUGUUGUUGUUGGUGGUUUUCUCAUUGUGUAUUUUAUUGUUUAGUUGUAAAAGUUAAAAUAUGUGAAUAGAUUUAACCAGAAUUCUUGAUGACAUUCAGUUUAAUCGGUUUGACAAUCAGGCCUAUCAAUCAAUCAACCAGUUUCCCAUGAAAUUUAGACAAUUCUUGUUCCUUUCUAACAGUUGAGAAGAAGAGGAAAAAAUCUAAACCCACAACAACAACAACAACAACAACAACAUUGAAAAUCUAUCUCUCCUUUUUUUCCCUGAUAUUCCUGAAUUUCUGAAUUUCUCAGUUUUUCGAUGAAAGAAGAUGAUAAUUUAAAAUUCAGGGAAGAAGAAAAAUCGAAGAACAAAAUAGAUCAUCUUUUACUUUUUCUUCUUCCACCUUCUCAUUUUCCACUAUCACAAACAUGAGAACCACCUCUUCCUUUAACUAUGUGUUCCUCAUAUUAUCCUACAUCUAUUAAUACAAUGAAGAGAAAAACAAUUUCAUGGAAAAAUGGGCAGAAUAAAUAUCCUGGAUGAAUAUUCAA